rnacentral:rRNA from 1 species
UCGGACUGUAGGCUGCAACUCGCCUACACGAAGUCGGAAUCGCUAGUAAUCGCGGAUCAGCAUGCCGCGGUGAAUACGUUCCCGGGCCUUGUACACACCGCCCGUCCACACCAUGGGAGUUUGUAACGCCCAAAGUCGGUGGCCUAACCUUUAUGGAGGGAGCCGCCUAAGGCGGGACAGAUGACUGGGGUGAAGUCGUAACAAGGUAAC